AUCCAACUGACGAUUCCCAAAUAAGACGAAAUGCGCAUUUUGUAU
rnacentral:hammerhead_ribozyme from 1 species